rnacentral:rRNA from 1 species
UUCGUAGGGUGCGAGCGUUAAUCGGAAUUACUGGGCGUAAAGCGUGCGCAGGCGGUUCGUUAAGUUCGUUGUGAAAGCCCCGGGCUCAACCUGGGAACUGCAAUGGAAACUGGCGGGCUUGAGUGUGGCAGAGGGGGGUGGAAUUCCGCGUGUAGCAGUGAAAUGCGUAGAGAUGCGGAGGAACACCGAUGGCGAAGGCAGCCCCCUGGGCCAACACUGACGCUCAGGCACGAAAGCGUGGGGAGCAAACAGG